UACGUAGGGUGCAAGCGUUGUCCGGAAUUAUUGGGCGUAAAGAGCUCGUAGGCGGUCUGUCGCGUCCGUUGUGAAAACUCGAGGCUCAACCUCGGGCUUGCAGUGGAUACGGGCAGACUAGAGUGCGGUAGGGGAGACUGGAAUUCCUGGUGUAGCGGGUGGAAUGCGCAGAUAUCAGGAGGAACACCGAUGGCGAAGGCAGGUCUCUGGGCCGCAACUGACGCUGAGGAGCGAAAGCAUGGGGAGCGAACAGG
rnacentral:rRNA from 1 species